UUUUUUUUUUUUUUUUUUUUGUCGAUACGAUAGCGUCCUACACUAUAGCGAGGGGGAGGGCCGGAAGAGGUCUUGAAGUAAUCCGAAAGGAAUUGAACCACUAUCGGACCAAACGGGUGCACAACACACCCGCCUGAAUUUUUUAAACAUGGCCACAUUUAAUUGUGGCACCAAGCCUUAAUGCAUUGCCAAAGGCUGGUGGUUAACUCAGGACUGAAGUAGCCUUAACUCAGGACUGAAGUAGCCAAAGUUGUUCUUUGGCAAGUCGAAUCUCGUCUCCUUGACCAUAUUACACGUUGUUCUAAUCCGUCCACACCUGCAAAAUUUCUGCAUUUACACUUGACCAAUCUUGGAAAUUUCUGUCCUUAAGUGCCAUCAUUAGGCUGCAUAAGGAAACUCUCUGCUUUCUCGGAAAUGGGCCUCUUUGAAAAACUUUUGUCUGGGUCUUGCCUCAAGCUAUUGUAGUGGUUUUUUAAAGCAUAAUUUAUGGGUUCUAGAAAUUGGGAGGUUAAACCUAUAUCUAUAUGGUAUGCAUUUUCCCAUCAUAGUACGAUUGUAGUUUCAAUAGUGUACUUCGCUGAAUUUGAAAUCUCAAGUCAAUUACCAUAUUAAAAUUGACAAUGAAGAAAAAAUUCUGGUGUCCCUCUAAUAAAAUCUUCUUUUCUUGAGGCUACUUCAGUGAGGCCUUCACUUCCUUUUUUUGUAUGAUUUUAGAUUAAGCAAAACAUUUGUUUGCUCAAUACUCUAUUGACCAAUCUCAAUUAUCUAUUUUUUAUUUUUUUGGACAAACCCCGUGUAUGGGGGUAGAAUGUCAGUCCAAUUUCAGUUAACUUAAGAAGCUAAAACUUAAAAUAAGUUUUUAUGACUAAAGAGAGAGCACUGUUUAAAAAAAAAAAAACUUGAUGAAAUUCUGAUUUCAAAAGCCUUAGUAAUCUUGACGAUAAUAAUAUACAUAUACGUCAGUUCAAUUAUCUGGAUUAGGCCAUAAAUCAAACGUGAGGGAAUUCCCAGCUUUUUUAAUUCAUUGCAUUAGCUUCAUUUAACCAUCUGUUUUAAUUAAAUCCAUGUCAUUUUUUUGUUUUUUAGGUGUGUCCCGCAGGGAGUGGACCCCGCAGACUAUUCACCACCCUCAGCAACUUGCUGGCAGCAAGGUUCGAACCAGGGACCUGAAUCUCCAUCUUCAGCAAUCUCAACCACCAGACCAAGCCCCUGAGGGCAAUUAAAUCCAUGUCAUGAAAGAUGGUAGAUGACCUUGUUAAUCAUGAUGUGAACUCUUAAUUUAAUUGACAAAUUGGAGCAAUGUCCACUAAUCAUUCUUUUUGUAAAAAUCUGUUCAACUUGUGAAGGUCUUCGAGCAUAAAAUAUUGCAAUAAUUGAAAUAAUAUUACUAUUAUUUUAUUUCAUGUCUUAUUGGCAAGAUAACUUACUUUAUCUCAAGUGGAAUUGCCAUGUUUAAAUACACGAGUUGUUUCUUUUAGACCUAUUGUCACCGGGCAUGAUGGAGGAGAGAGGAAUAGAUUGAAUAGUUUGAAAGGAAGAGAUAUAAGUGAGAAAUCUCGAGUUCAAACUCCAAUACUUACACUUGAAAAAAAAAAAAAAAAGGCAUGACAUAGUUGUACCUCCCCAGAUAAAUUUUCUAACACGGGUAUUUCCUUCUUUUAUUUAUUUUCUUUUUUCGUUCUUAGUUGAUGGAAAAAGACAUACAAGUUCCAUUUGUGUUUUUUGACAAAAAAAAAAAAAAAAGUUCCAUUUGUGGAAGUUGUACACGUAUGCUGACUUUUCUCCAAUAGAAAGUUUGAAUUCCUAAAAACAAAGAAAGCGCCCUUUCGAAGUCUAAUGGGGCCACAAAAUUUGUGACGGUCACAAAAUUUAUCACAAUAUGUGACGGUUUUCAUUGAUCAGUUUCGAUGGAGUUUCUAUUCACAUCGAGUCUCCACAUCCUCCCCUUAGAAUAGACUAGUUUAGGUUAUAGAAAUUCUAUCGUAUCACCAAAAAAAAAAAAAAAGAAGUCUAAUGGGGCCACGUGAUGAUCUAAUUUUAUAUAAAUGGUUGAAGUGUAAACGAAGAAAUUUUUAGGUGUGGACAGAAUAAAAUAACAAGCGUUUUGGUCAAGGAGACGAGAUACUACUAGCCAAAAAUAUACUCCAAUUAUUUCGGGCAGCAGAAUUGUGGCACGUUUUUUUGCCAGUAAGGAUUCUUAAUCUUGGUCAGUCAACUUAAAAUGAAGUAAACGAUGCUCUUUAACAUGAUACAAGAAAGGCCUUCUUUGGUUCACUAAAUAGAUUAUACAAAAAUUAUUCUUAUCAUAAAAUUAACCCCAACGAAAUGUGCACGGUCUUCGCGAGAACUGCCAGUCAGAUUGAAAAGAGGCUCCAUGUACCUUUCUAAGGAGCAAAUAAGGAGACAAGGCAAACGCCAAAGGGCUACCAAAUUGAUGAGGCAGACAAUUACGUGUCAGCUGUGCCCUAACAUGUUUUAACAAAACCCCUUAUAGAUAUGUAUUUUUUAACCCUGCCAUUCCUUUCUACACCUGUUCUGUUCCUAUCUGUCGAGCGAGAUCCUGUCAUAGAUAUGUAUUUUUUUUUGUCGUAACAAUAGGAUUCCUAUAAGCUAAUCUAACCUAAUCUAGAGGGGAGGGGGAGGGAAUUCGAUGUGAAUAAAAACUCCAUCGAAAAUGGCCAAUGAAGACCGUCACAUAUUGUGACAAUUUUUUGGUAGAAGGCAAGAUUCGAAUCCUUGACCUCCCGCACCACCAAGUCUAAGAAGGCCUGGGAGUGGCCUAUCAUAGAUAUGUAGAUAUAUUUGGAAAAUUGUUAAAUAUAAUCGAGAUUAAGAGUGUCAGAAGCAUUUUCAGAGUUCAUCUUGUCAAGUUAUGGAAAUUCUGACGCAUUACAAUAAUAUGGUUAUGAAUUUAAUAAGGGGAGGAUUGGGUUGAGUGGUAAAAUGGAAAGAAUUGUAAAUAAAAAGUUAUGAAUUUAAAACCUCUCAUUUAUCCACAGAGAGAGAGAGAGAGAGAGAUUCAAAAAGAAAAAUAACCGAAACGAUUCAAUAAAUAAAAUCUCUAUAUUCUUACUACAGAGGAGGCUCGUAUUGGAAUUUUGCUACUAGUAGCUUCCCAUGAAUGCGUGAUUCCUAAGAAUUCAUUCGUGUAAGCAAUUGAAAAUGCGCUUUUAACAUCUUCUAUCUUUUAAUGUAGUGAUUUUUUCUUUUUCAUAAAUUUCUUCAUCCAAAAUAAUAAACGAGAAAAAAAAAAUAAACAGAAUUCUUGGAUGCGGGCAAUCAAUUUUCAGAUCGGAUACACUGAUAAUAAUCUAGGCAGCCACAUUUAGUGGUCUGGUCUGACCAUUCACCAUGCAGAUUUGACUGCUUUCUAACUGAAAUUUAGUGAUUUAGUGCUGGGGUUUUACCCUUCAUCAGGGAACAUAUGCUCACUUUUCCCAAUAAUUUUGAGGCUUUUGAAAUUGGUUUGUGAAAUUUUGUCCAUUAUUCUCAAAUAACAGAAUAAUAAGCUACAAGGUACCUACUACCUAUGAGGUUUGGCAUCUUGUUCCAUCUCAAUUUGCCAAUUCUCUCUGAGGAUGAUGCCAAGGUAAGUUCAGCAGCUGAUCAAGAUGAUCAAUUACCAUCUUCUCAAGGGCAACUGCAUUUUCUGGAUCACUUUGACGACCAUAACAUCCCCAGCUCCCAGCACUUGGCAAAAACUUGCGAUGUUUUAAGAAAGACAUGAUAUGAUCAAAUUCUUUUUUGGUUAAUUGAAAAGAUUAUGCAUCAAAUUAUUUUUUGCCAAGUAGAAUCUCGAAAGAGUCCCAAAAACUUAUGGCUGCAUCAGUGAGCUAAUCCCAACGAAAUGUGCACGGUCUUCGUCCCAAUGAAAUUACAGUCUAUUCGUUCAAAAUGUGUUACUUAUAGGUGCCCCUCACUGAUGCCGGUGCGGGUUUCUGAGAUGCCCAACAAUUACAGCUCAAAUCAUCCAACAGGGAUUUUCGGCCUUUCGAAAUUGUUUGCUGCCCAUAUCAAUUUCAAGGUCAUUUGCAGCUGGAUAAGCUUGAAUUCGGGCUGCCUAGGGAAAUGAUAGGAUAUUAUUUGUUAGUAAUUUUAUUAUUAAUUUUUUUAUUCCUGUCAAAUAUUAUGUUAAUCGUCGAUAUCUGCUCAUUCUUGGUAUUUGGAAUUAAUUUCAGAGAUUUGGAGCAGAAAACUACAAAAAAGGGGGACUUGCUUCAUAAGUGGGAGACUUCAAAAAAGUCCCAUGGACCUGGCCCACAAGGGACAAAGAAACGGAUUUGGCUGAAGAAGUGACAGGGGAUUGGAGCGGCAGAACGUUCUUUUGGAGACUUUGGCCCCCUAAUUCGUAGGGCCCAUCUUGUGCGCUUAGCUUCUUCAAUCCCGCGGGAGACCAAGGACAAGGAAAAGUGAGCACUAGUCAUUCGGCUAAAAAAAGAAAGUAACGCACGGAGGCUUGAAAACAAGAAGAAUUCGGCGGGCUUGUGGCUAAUUUGUGGGGACCACGGAAGAUAGGAAAGGCGUUAGUCAUCUUUGGCUUUAAAAAGAAACAGACGAAUAGGCGGCUCUUAUCACUAGCUCUUAGGAUAGUUUUAGUUUUAGUUUUUCCUUUCCUUCCCUUUGUCAACUACGCGCCAACUGUUCGAGAAUAUUUUUCAACGGAAAAAACAUCUUUUAUUCCUUACUUUCUAGUAAAAAACGUAAUGCCUUUACAAUCCAUUAAUUUGCAUAGAGAUUUAUUUAUGCGUCAUGGCUAAACCUUUCAUUUAGUCAAGGAUCAACUCAACGGUGCAGUCUCGAAAAUCUGUGAGAUCUAAUUAGUUUUCACGCGUUCUUUAAUUUAUUAAUAUUUACACGUUGUCUACUUGAAUUUUCAUGAGAUUAUUUUAUUAAUUGGAUGUCAAUGGCCCGAUGUUCAAUGUGAUUUAUUAAUCUCAUGCCAAUUUAGCCAAUUAAAUCCGUAAUUAUUGGAUUGAUUAAUAUUAGUGGCAACUGGUGUGUUUACACAUUAGGGGAACGUGCAAUCUAAUUUAAAUAAUUCCUGCUAUAUUCGUGCUAAUUAAUUAUUUAUUUUUAGUUGAAUUGUUUAAUUGUUUUCUAGUUUUAUUCUGGUGAAAUUCCCCCUUACCCAUUGGAAUUUAAAAGAGUCAAAUAUUUCCAGUCCCUGAGGAGACGACCCUACUCGUCACUGUCUACUAAUUAGUAAUUUUUGUCAACUAAUUAAUUCUAGUAUAUCGGAUUAAGCAAACUCUUCGGAAACAGGGUGAAUCAAGUAACCCAUUGCACACUUAGAGUCUCUGCUCCAGUACCUAAAAUUAAUUAUUGACUGCUUUUAAUAGUAUUUAGGUUUUUAUUAUUAUUAUUGCACAGAUUCAACGACCUGUCAGGAAAGCUGCUUUUCAUAUUGAUUAAUCAAUGGCCUAUGAGUCCAGCAACAAUCUAAAAGGGCGCACGUAGAUGUCUGAGGAUUGACCAUGAAGACUUGGACAAUUUUCUAACUGCAAAUUGAGUGAUUUAGUCCUCGGAUUUUACCUUCCAUCAGGGAAAUAUGCUUAUUUUUCCCAAUGAUUUUCAAAAUGACUUGAACCUGAUUCGACUGCUUCUACUUGAAAUUAGUGAUAAUAGUCCAGGGAUUUUACCCUUUAUCGGGAAGCAAAUGCUCAGCUUUCCCACAAAUUUGAAUGAUGGAUUGGCCUGAUUUUCACAUGCAUGCUGUGAAAUAUGCAGUACUACUGUGAGGUUGACAUUCAUCCAGGUCAAUGCAAGUGGAAAUUGUAAAUUAACAUGUUUAUGGGGUACAAUGUAAGUAGUUAGUUAACGAGCACCGGACAAAGGAUAGGAACGGUUGUCUCAAAUAAUAAAUUGCCUAAAAUGGGCCAACGCUGCUUAAUUUCAAAUUGUACGGAUGAGAUAACAUCUAUAUUUUUGACGUAACAAACAUAUAAGACCCGCGCGAAAAGCAUAUGACUAUAGCAUCUCUAUUGUAAAAUGGGCCAACACUGCAUUUUCUAGGAAGUACCUAACAAGUUCGAGACCACUUUGACGACCAUAACAUCCCCCACUUUAGGAUGUUGGAACGGACAACUGACACCUUUCUUGAAUUUCUGAUUGAGUUUUCUUACAAUAUCCGGGUUCCAUUUUACCUUCAGCUCAAACUUCUCCACGUUUGGUGAUGUCCUGAUCAAAGACGUAAAUCCAAUGAAGCUAACAUCUUCUGAUGCUUGAUUAGUUAGUAAGGUUGCUUGCUUAGGUAGGCGAGGAAGUUCAUGGAGCUUUAAUUUUUCAUAAGACAAGUAGGUGGAUAAGGUAAGAACCUCCAGGUUCAACAGGCAGAGCAGGAAAGCCAAGAAACAGCAUCCUUCGCUAAGUAGCCCGGGGGCAUUAUCAAGCACUAGAGACUAGAGAGUGCGCUUGAGUAAUUGCAGUGAGACUAGAUUUGUAUCCCAGAAAAUGACCGAUUUUAAUUUGGUACAAUAAACUAUCUCCAGAUGUUGCAACAUUGCAAGAGAUGGACCUGAGACUUGAAGAUUUAUCAAAUCGUAACAGCCUUGCACUACUAGUCACACAAACAAGCAAUGGGUAGUUUGUGCAAGUAGAAUUUCAAGAAUUUUGCCGGACACAUUUCACGCCCAUCAAACUCAGGGUUCUGAGGGAAUUGAACUCAACAGAUUCACCAGCAUGACCGCUCAGGCCAAUGGAGUCAAGUGAAAAAGUAUACGCGUUAAAGUAACAACGAAACAGCUCGUCAAACUCUUAACAAGUCCAAUUCUAGCCAAUCAACUCGCCAUGCAAAGGCAUACUGAAGCCACUGGUCAAUGUUCAUGGGAAUGUCUGUCCAAAUCAAAACAAACCCUGAAUUCAUCAAGCAAUGUCAAGGAUUUGUGUGAUAUAUAGCAGCACAUUGUUCACCCGCUUAAUAUACUUGAGCCUUACCCUUUUGCAAAUUUGCUAUGCUUUUUCACUGAUAUGGCUUGUAUUCCUGCCAUCUUGUCUAACGCUUUGGACGCAUCAACAUCAAGCACUUACUCUCGCUGCAGCUUUAAGCGGCAGAAACGAUAUAAUUCAACGAAGAAUAUCAUCCGGUAGUUCACUGAUCACAUCCACGACUUGUUGCUCUCUGUUUUUGCACUUCUUCAGGCCAUUCAUCGAUCUAGAAUCAGAUGCAAGUUUCACCCUUCGGGGCCCCCUCCAGUGACCCUUCGCCCCAUCAAGAUUAAUGCUUUCCCAAAAAUAUUCUAACCAUCAAAUCUAUAUGAUUCUUGCUUCCAUUUAUGUAAUUAAGAGAAUUCCUAAAAGAAUAAAAUAGGAAUUUAACUAGCUUUGAUGCUUCAUGUUAGGAGAUAAUUUUGUGGAAGUUAGUUUCCUUUUACAAUGGAAAUGUUUAUCAGAAUAUGCGUUGUUCUUAGGAUAGGCUUCAGAAAUUAUGACAACAAAAGGAAAGAAAAUUUUAAGUGGUGAAUUUAGAAAUUAAUCAAGUGUUGGUGAGAGAAUUUCUUGGAGAAUAGUUAUUGUAUAAACCCAUGAAUCUAAUAUUAUGAAAAGAGAAGUUAUGGAAAAGUAGUAGGCCUCAUCAAUUCAAGGAAUGAAAUCUUAUUGUCCGUAAUUUCAUUGAUCGCAUAUAUGAUGGGAUUAUCUUAUGCAAGUCGCUGAUGAAGAGGACCUUAAAAACAGAUAUUAUGGAAUGAAUUUGCAAAUUAGCCAGGGAGCAUUAUUAAUCGUCACAACCAAAAGAGAAAAAAGGAAAAAUAUAAGAAAGAAACCCCAAAAUUUAUACACGGGCAGAAGUCGAAUUUUAUGACCGCAAUCCUUAGAAAAUAGACAGAUUAUAUAUAUCCAGGCACUGAGAAAACUACCACCAAUUUGUCUUAAUUGCUUCUGAAUCUUUCACAUGGCAUGAUGGCUCUUUGGCCUUGUUUCUUCAAGAUAGACCUGCUGAAAAUGAAAAGGGAAACACAAAGCAUCAAUGCUUGCACAUGAGUUAUUUACGCAAAAAGCUUUAUAGUUAAAGUGCUGAUAAAUUCGCAUGCAGAAUUAAAGUCAAAGGGUAUCUACGAGAUAUUAAUUUAGGAAGUAAGCAAUAGCGGAACCAAGAUUUGAUAAGAGGGGGAGGGGUGGAGGAAUUUAGCAUAUAAGAAAAUCUUUAUAUGAGUUAUCUAGGUAAUAUAUAACAAGUUUUAUUUUCAUGCUUAUAUUUAAUAUAUAUAUAUAUAUUUUUUUUUUAAAAGAUAAUUUGUACUCCAAAUGAAACUUAACAUGAAUUGACCCUUUUCUUGCUUGCCAUAUGGUUUUCAAAUAGAAAAAAGUAAUUAUUUGUAAAUAAUAUGGUAUUAUUCAAACUACAUUUUAGAUGUUAUAAGGUUCAAAUUAUGAUGACGUUAAAAACAUUCUUCAAAUAUGCCUUUUCCUUUCCUGUUUUAUUCCCAUAAAAUGGAAAAAAAUCAUAAAUAAAUUUAUUUGAUUAUAGUUUUCCUACUAACAUUUUACUGAAAAAGUUUGAAAGUGUACAGUUUUAUUUGUUCUUAAAGGAAGUUGAUGGAGCAAAAAUGUAUUUAAAGAGGAGAGAGAAUAGAAAUAUGUUUAAAAUGAAACUUUGUUUUUGGCACCCGGGGGUGAAGAUAUUCAACAAAAGUUUUGAGGGGUAAAAGGAGUUAAAAUAAAUUAUAUAGGUCCAAAUGAAUUGUUUCAAAGGUUUAGCGGGGUGACAGCCCCUGUUGGUGUUCCUGGCUCUGCCUCUAGAAGUAAGUUCUUUUUUUUUUUCCCCUUUUUAUCCUCCCACCCCUCCUUACAUCUUUUCCUACUUCCAACUGCAAGAUUUAGAUUUCAAACUCUGAACCUGGCAAUGGAGAAAACAUCAAAAGCUCCUCCUUGAUCAUUGGGCCAAUCUCAGUGGUUAAGUUUAUUACUGUACAGUUGGAUGAAAAUGCAAAACAAAAUUGAAAAAAAGUUGCAUACAACCAAAAUGAUGAAGAAACGAGAUUUAUGUGCACAUAAGGAAAUCAAAAACACAUGGGAGGUAAAUGCAAUGAGUAGAGGGCAAAAUGUUUUGCUAACCAAUUAAGGAAGCUAGUUGUUGUGGAGAUCCCUAUUCUGGAGGAUAAAAGAGGAGCUUAAGGUCAGAGCCAAAAUUCUGCUGAAUUUCCCUUGCUGAGGUAACCAACUUGGAACUGGUACAAUACAGCUCAAUUUCUUGGAGAGUGGAUAUUUCUCCAAAUUCAGGUGGGAGAGCCUCAAGGACAGUGCAGUGCCGUAGGAAAAGGCUUUCCAGCUUUGGAAAAUGAUCAGCUGAAGUCUCCCAUACCUUCAAAUCUGUAUGACCUAUAUGCAAUACUUUCAGAUUUGGAAAACCCUCAUCUUCUGUUUUCCAUCUUUCUCCCUUGAAUGCAUUGUCUUUCAAUUUGAUCACCUCAAGCAUCUCCAAUUUCCCCAGUGUAGACAUAUGUACCCAAUCAAGCGAGGUGUUUAGUAGGGUCAACUUUUUCAGCCUUCUUGGAAACUUGGUUGGUGAAGGAAGUUGUUGUAACUCGAAUGUUUGAUCAGAAUUCAAUAGCUUCAGAUUUUCAAGCUCUUGCAAUCUGGAAAGACUAUCAAACAAGCUAGAUUCACCUCUGGCAUUGAAAAGACCAGCUAAUUUCCCACGGAUACCCAAUUUCUUGAGCUUAGGAGUCCUGUCAAACACUUCUUUCGUGCAACUUUCUGGUGAGAUUGUAGAAAGGGUUCGAAGGUUUGAACUGCUCAUGGCCUCGUCCUUGGACUUCUGCACACAUGCCGAUGCAUUAGUGUGCAGAUGCCUUAGAUGAGUCAUUUUCCAAAUAUCUGCUUUUAUAUCAAGGAUAAGAGAUGAUGUUUCAAUGAUAACAGUCUGCAAGUUCCAAAGAUCCAACAUUUUCUCAGGAAGGACCUUGAAAUGACAACAGAUGGCAAUAUACUUCAGAAGAAUAAGCUGAAAUAGGCCCGAAGGAAAACGAGUGAGAAUUAUUGAUCUGAUUUCCAGAACUCUAAGCAAUUUGAAGGCCCUAGGGAUGGAUGAGACAUAUUCUACAGGCAUAGGGAUUUCUUCCUUGGCAAAGCAGAGAAAAGAGCGGACAUGUGGACCAAAUGGUCUUGAUCCUAUGUAAUCUAAAACAGAAUCAUUAACACAUAUGCGGCGGAAAGCAUCCGAAGAAGAGCUUACAGAUUGGGAAAACUCUUUCAUUUCAUGGAAAAGAUUUUCUUUUCUUGCCUCCAUCUUGCAAAAGUCACGCAAUGUGUCAUGAAUUCGACAAGUUUUAAUACGACCAUCCGAACUUCUGCGUCCCACCAUCACUAAAUUCUUGUCAACUAGGUCCAUCAAGUAAUACUCCGCUAGAUCUUCUAAGCUAAUACUUUGAUGGCUUCCUAUAAAACCUUCAGCAAUCCAUAAUCGCAGCAAUCUCCAGACAGGGAUAUCAUAGUCUUCUCGAAAGACCCCCAUGUAGAGAAAGCAUGGUUUUAAGUGGUGAGGCAAGUUAUUGUAACUCAAUUUGAUUACAUCAAACAUUUGCGACAUAUCCCUUGCAAUAUAUUCUGUCAUACCUUCAGAUACCCUCUCCCACCAGCGAAGGUUGUGUCUAUGAUUCAACAGUAUACCUGCUAGUACGACAAUAGCUAACGGCAAUCCGCCGCAUCGCUGCAGAAUGCGUACUUCAUGUUCCUCGAGCUCUUCUGGGAGUUCACUCUGACCGAAAACCUUAUGCCGUAGUAACAUUCGACUUUCCUCUGGAUGCAGAAAUCGCAUAUAAUAGGGUCCAAUCUCUGCAUUAGCAUGAAGUGCUACAGAUUUGUUUUGGCUAGUUAUAACCACUCUGCUGCCGUUACCAUCGUCAGGAAAAGCACGCUUGAGAUCAUCCCAUGCUUCCGUGGUCCAAACAUCAUCCAGCACAAUCAAGUACCUCAUCUUCUUUAAUUGCAUAUUAAUUAGUUGCGCCAAGUCUUCGUCUGGCAUUUUUUUCCUUUCUUCAGUGACAUGGCCAAAGCUGUUGAGAAUUCUCAGGAGCACUUCCCUUCUAUUGUAUUCUUGAGAAACAUUAACAAAUGCUCGAAGAUGGAAAUUAUAUGCAACUUUUGAAUCAUUGAAUAUCUUUCUAGCUAGUGUUGUCUUCCCCAGCCCAAACAUUCCAACAAUUGAGAUUACCUGUAGCCGCCGUGGUCCCCGAGUGAGAAGGUCGAUCAUUUUUUGUGACUCAUCCUCAAGGCCAAUGACAUUUUCUUCCUCCACCAUAACGAUCUAUUACAUGAGGAGAAAAGUCAUCAAAAAGAGUUGAUGCCAGUUCAGGAUGAAACAAGAUUAAUCAGGUACAUGCAAACACAAUUGAAUGGUGAAAUGAUCAAAUACGAAUAAAACAGAACUAGAAAUUACUAGUCUUCCACCAUAACCAUAAAAAGAAAUUGAUUGGUUGCAAUGGGUCUUGACGCUAUUAGGUAUAGCAAUGAUAUUGGGAGGGGCCAACUCUUGUCGGAAAACCCAAAUGUUGCAAAUUUUCAGGUAAUCGAAAUCUUAGUCAAUAUCUAAUUAAAUCAAUCAGUUUGAAUUUUUAAGUUGCAGUCACCAACCUUUUUUGCCCUCUGCUUUAAUUGUUUAGGUUGACAAACCAUAUAGGUAACAAAGUAACAUCUUAUACCAUCAACAGAGUCAGAUCUAAAUGGUAGUUCUUGCUCAGAAGAGUACAAGAGGAUUCACUAGUACAAAUAAAUGAACAGCUCGCACCCAUAUACGUAUGUCGCCAUUUCUGAUUCUAGGAAAGCAGUGACAAAAAGGAUAAAUUUUCUUGCAAAGAAUUUCUGGAUUUUGGUAGGAGUGAAAAGUUGGACAAAAAUUUAAAAAAAAAAUGCUGUAUUCAUUUCUUUUAUUGGCGUAUUUUCCUUUUCUGUUUCCAUCCCAAAAUUCAUAAUCCAUACUUACAGAAAAUGAAGCAAGCUGUCAUUUACCUUUUCCCUCUUUGGACCCGUGCUGGAGGCUUCAACAAUUUGCAUAGAUUCAAUCCCAAGAGGCACCAUGUUCUUGUAGAUGUCCCGCACAUACUUGGUCACUUUCUCGAUCUGUUUCCUCCCACGUCGAAGUUCUGAUGCAUCAUCAACGGCGUGGAGAGCCCUACUGAUUGAACUCCUACGUUUUUGCAAGGAAACACGAACUAUGUAUGUCUCUAUCGCAUCCUCAGCAUCAUAAACCACAGACUUGAUCUCGCCGACCACGUUUUCAAGGACUGCGCUGUUGGUUUGCUUCUGUGUACAGUCCUUGAUGAAGGCUUUCAGAAGCUCAAGAUCUUUGCCAAGCACUUCAACGUUGUCCUUCACUCCACUGAUCAAAUCAGAUUGGUAUUGGAUUAACUCCUUGAGAUUUCCUAACAGAAAUUCCACUGCACUAUCUGGAACAUUAGCCAUAUUUCUUCUUUCUUUCUCUCGGGAGGUUUGGGAGUGAACAAUUUGAGAGUACUAUUCUUUCAACUUUUUCUGAACCUUGAAGUGGUUACAUGAAUAAUGUGCAUUGAACUGGAAAGUUGACUCGGCCUUGGAGAUGGUAUAAUAAAGGGCAAAUUAUCUGAUUGGCCCUUGAACUCUUUGUCUAGGUAAAAAUAAGCCCCUCAUCUAUUUUUUGUUGACUUUAAGCCCUCGAACUUGAUAAAUUGGGUACCCGUGACCCUUUUAGCCAGUUUCUUUGAUUUUAUAAGUGGAAGGCCUAUUCACACGAAUGCCAGUGUGCUUUUUCAAAGGGUAUUUUUGUCCGCAUCUUCUAAGCAAAAAGGGAACCACCCAUCCCCGCCCCUCCCGCCCCUUUCUCUUCUGUUGCUUCUCCUCCUUCUCCACCACCUCCCCUGCCCCCUCCCUCUCCCUGAUAUCUUUGCCACUAUCACCUCCCCCUCCAACUAUUUUAGCCCCCAAGAGACAACGCCGCCCCAGUGUUCGAUUAGGUGAAAUCGGCCACCAAUCUUUCGAAAAUCAUUCCUACCAUCCUCGUCGCCCCUCCAAAACUUGGCACUUCCAUAGAGACCCUUCUCUCGCUGCCAAAACCUCCAAGUCCCGACCUUUAACCAACCUCGUCAACUGUGCUGCCCCCUGCCCCCGACCGCAGCUACCACCACGAUAACACCAAUAGUUACGCCUUCGACUUCUGCACUAAAAGGACCAAGACCAAGAAGCCCGCCACCAAGCAGGUCAGGUCUAAUUGGGCUUCUGCUCCCAAAUUCGAAGCUGUCGUACCCAACGGAGGUUUAAUGCUUCCCCAAAACGAAUAGGGAUUUACGAAUAAUCAACAUUUGAUUAAAAGUUAGAACUUUUUUAUUGUUUAACUUGGAUUUGGGUAUUACAUUAGAGUUUGACUUGUUUGGAUGAAAAGGGGUAAGGAAAAUGCAGUGUGGUUUGACUUAUAGGGGGGAUGAUAUCGGAAGGCUGGAGGUCAGCCAUGUGAGAUGUUUCAAACAAGUGAGUGAGAGAAUAGUAGAAAAAAGCAUAGUGGAAGGAGGAGGAGAAGGACAGGUGGGAGAGGUGGAGAAGAGAGCAGAAGUUUGCGGGAGGGAAUCUAGUGGCGUGACUACUUCAGUUCUACUACCACUACCUGGGCACCGUGUUGUGCUAUUGAAAGUGGUUCUCCAGUCCGGUUGUCCUUCUAACCCUUUUACCCCCUUUCCUAUCGUAGUUCGACUUGUUUGGGCGGUGUGUUUCAACUUGUUUGGGCAGGUAAAAUAUCGUAGUUCGACUUGUUUGGGCGGUGUGUUUCAACUUGUUUGGGCAGGUAAAAUGGAAGGAAGAAUGAGGAGUUGUUUUCUUUUUGCUUAGAAUAUGUGGACAAAAAUGCCCUUUGAAGAAACAUAUUGGCAUUCGUGUGAAUUUGCCUUAGGCUUGCAAAAUCGGAGAAACUGGCUAAAAGGGUCAUGGGUGCCCAAUUUAUCAAGUUCGAGGGCUUAAAGUCAGUGAAAAAUAGAUGAGAAACUUAUUUUUACCUAGAUAAAGAGUUCAAGGGCCAAUCAAAUAAUUUGCCCUAUAAUAAAUGUUUCUUUACACAGCAGGUUUUAGAUCAGGACGAAUACGUGUGAGUAAAAAUUUGAUGGCAUCAGCCAUCAGGCCAUUAGGCGGGCCUUCCCCAGUCCUGGACGCCACUAGCUGAUAAUUAGUACAUUUUCCAAUUUUUUAAUGGAUUAGUUUAAGUUAAUUGUUACCCUACAUUAGCUCCAAUGACGGAGCUAGGGAGGCAUGGCAUCUUGUAAGUUUUGAAAAUUUUAAUUCAAAAUAUGUAAAUAUAUGUAUAAAAUAAAGUUAGCUCCCUCUAAUUUUUUUUAUAAUUUUAAUUUGUAUUAUGAAAGUUUAUAUAUAUAUAUAUAUGUAUGUAUAUAUGAAUUAGCCACCUUUGAAUUAAUUUUUGUCUUCAAAAAAAGUUAUUUAUUUUUAUUGUGACAAUUAUUUAACUCUCAAAAAAAAUUAAUCAUAAAAUUUGAUGAUCCAUAGUAUAUUGAUCCAAUUUGACAUAUUAUAAUAAAAAAACCCAAUUCAUAAUUAUCAAUGGGUUACAUCAGAAACAAUUACUGUGUUGGCUAGUAUACAAAUAUACAAUUUAGCUCAAUUGAUUAGACUUGCUUAUCUUCUUCUUCAUCCAAUUACAGAACAGGCAUUUUCAAUUAUGAAAAUAAUCAAGACAAAGUUUCGAAACAAGAUGAAAGAUAAUUUCUUAAAUGAUAUAUUGCCUAAUUGUGUACAUAGAAAAGGAAGUUGCUGGAAAAUUUAGCACUGAUUCAAUCAUAAAUGAAUUUAGUUAUAUGAAAGAACGUAAAACUCAUUUUAUUUUUAAGAAAAAGGUUAAAAUUUCAAAGUAUGUUUUAUCUUUUUUUUUAAUUAAAAAAGUUACUUUUAUAUCACAUAGUUAUAUAUGUGUGUGUGUGUGUCUAUAUAUAUAUAUAUAUAUAUAUAUAUAUAUAUUGCAUAGGCGACAUAUUGGAGUACGUUCUCAUAAUGUGCAACUUGGAUGGUUUGUGAUGUUAUAAAAUAUUUAAUCAAAGGUUAUUUCUUAUCUUAAUUUUCAUUAUGACUGUGUUGCAUAUUUAUAAAAUAAACAUACCUUUAUAAUUAAAGUUGAUAUUUGAUAUUUUUAGAUGUCAUAUAUUUAAAUAGAUGAAAAUUAUUUUGAACAUAAUUUAUUAAAAUAAUUUUGUUAGGGAAAAUUUUGACUCCCAAAGAAAAAGUCCCUGGCUCUGUCACCGAUUAGCUCAGACCAUGUUAACUUUGUGACAAUCAAAUUGGAUUAGUUUUAAAGAUGAAUAGUUUGGUUUACUCUUAAUCUUGCACUUUUAUUUAAUAAUCUUUGCCGUACGAAAAGCAUAGUACGCUGUGUUUAUCAAAGAGAAAAAAAAAUUGAAAAAUAUAAGUGUCACAGAUCAUGUUUUAAUUUUUUUUUCCCCUUAGUAGGGGAGGGGCGAGAAUAGUGAGAAAAAAAUUUGAAAAACUAGUGAGAGCGUACUUUGGAUGUUGUAAAGACAUUUCUUCGUAGAAUUUGUACCAUUUUCAAUAUACGAGUCGAAGGUGUUUCAUAUUUGUGUGAUUAAUAGUAAUCUCAUCUUCUCUCACACACAAAUAUUUGUCAAUGUCCAAAGAGGCAGCUGCGGACUCCCGUAGAAAAGCCGUCUUGGCUUUUGUCAAAAAACUUUUUCGUCAAUCUAACUUUGUUGUUUGAUUUCCAGUAAUUUCGAUUAUUGAAAAAAAAAAAAAAACUUUUUCGUCAAAGGGGCACUUGACUCACAUAUGAUUUCAUGUGCUAACACACAGUUUUUACGAAGUGGAGUCAAAGAUCAAAGUCAUGAUUUCAUUCUAGAAUUUGUUUAACGGAUUUAUAGAAACUUGGAUUAAAAUUGACAAUAAUAUCUACCUGAAUCAUCAUAUUAGAAUCUUAAUGCCAAAGGAUAAUUAUAAAAUAAGGAACAAAAAUGAGGACAACAAUAAUUAAACAUUUUUGUUAAUUUGUACCCUUUCAUUAACUAAACUAAUACUCAUAAGUUUGUAAAUAAGUCAUAUUGAAAAAAAUUGUGCAUAUAUUAAAAUUAAGAAAGACUGCAUUAUUAUAAGUUAUAUUGAACAAAUUAACCAAAAUACUAACAAAUUCAACUCACAUGACAUGAAAAAUAAUAAUCUUGUAAAUAACAUUUAUGCAAAAAUUUUUUAAAAAAAUUGGCAUGAUAAUUCAGGCCACCAGAAAGCAAAUCAAAAUCCAAAUCUAACAAUCUCAAAUCCAAUUCACAUGGCAUGGAAAAUAAAAAUCUCGUUUUUCUUGGCAUGGCAAUUCAUGCCAACCAAAAUCCACAUAAAAAACAAAAAGGGUAAUCCCAUUCAGUUAUAGUUUUGAAUUUUUUCGCACUUAGGAAAAAAAUUAGUAACAACAAAUAAAAAAGCAAUAAGAGUACCAUUCAAAAUUUUGACACUUAUAGCGAAGUCUUUAGUUUUUGGUCAUAUUUUAUAUUUUCAAUUAUGAAUUUUACUUUCAGUUGGAAGAAGACACGUCACGACAAAGUAACCUAGAAUGACCCUCCUAUGGUUUUGCCAUAUGACCCCUCUAACGUUUCAAAAUGUCCACUUCACUCACUUAUAGUUUUAUAUAAAGUGAAAAUUUGAUCAAAAAUAAUUAUGUAACGUCGUUAGUUGAUAUAUCAAUAGUGCCCUUACUUAAAUGCUAAAUUAAUCAACGGCCUAACCACCAUGUAUAAAAAUAUAAGGGGAUUAUGUGAAUAAAUGCAAAAAUCAGAGAGACUAUAGUGAAUAUUUAUACAAAUCAUAAAUGGAUUAUAUGGAUAUUAAGGUUUUAUUACACGCGCUUUUAAAGAGCAUUUGGUAUAAACAUCGUAACUGAUUGUGUGUUCCAUCAAUUUUUUCACUUUACAUAAAAUCACAAGGGGGUUAUGUGAUUAUUUUAAAACCAUAGAGGAGUUAUCUAACAUUCUGUAAAAUCACAAGGGGGUAAUGAGUAAUUUGCCCCUAAAUUUACUAACAAAUCACAAGGUUAAAUUGUAAGUUUUCAAAUCAUAAUAGUUGAUAUAUACAAUCGCUCAGGCAUAGAACGGUUUCCAUAUUUCACAAAAGAUUUUCACUAAUGCCCUCCCUGUAUUCACAUUUAAUUGAGUGGAUGAGACAGAUGAAGCUAAAAUACCGAGAAUACAAUUUUCAUGCGAUCAAGUGUCAUCUGGAGACCAAAAAACAGAACAUUAACUUGAAAUUACUGAGCCAGGUGAAAGACAGUACUAAUCUUGCAUACACUAUUAGUGUAUCAACUAUUAGUUUUGAAUAAAUAACAACUAUAUCAAAUUUUAAUUUAAAAUUUAACCUUUAUACAUAUGUUAUGAUUCAACAGUAGGUCAGUGUACAUAUAAGACUUACUCGUGAAAGAUGUCCAAAAAAGAGAAUUUAGAUCACCGGAAAAAGAAACAAAAGAGAUAAAAAUUUACACCAAGCAGGAGUGGCUUGCAUAUUUACAAUCUGAAAUUUUGUGAAUGCAAGACUAGCUCUCCAUGACAAUCAAAUAGUUGAGAGAAUGAAAAAGAUUUUGAUCUUUUGCACAAAUUAUGCUCAGCUGAGAUUUUUUAAUUUCCAGGUCAGCUUGUGAAUUCUUCAAAUCCUGAAAUGUUCUUCAACUUGAUUGUCUCACCAUCAACGGGCUGAGCAAAACGAUACAGAUAUUUGAUAUCAUCCUGCGUAUUCAAUCAAAGAAAUAAGACAAUUCUUUAUAUUCAAAGGAAAAAGAAAACAGGAGUGAUAAAGGUAACCAGGCUUCCCCUUUGAUUUUGGAAUCUAAGCAAGGGAAAAAUGAAAUUAUUAUCAGCAAUACUGAUUGUCUGGUGAAAAUGCAAGUCCUGUACUAACUUCCUUCCUAGGAAUAAGCUGACAAGGAAACAAAAUGAUGCAAAAGAGCAAAAGGAAAUAAGCAGAAUAACAUAUGCAUAGCAUUAUAGCAAGGUGAUAUGGGAACCAAGAAAGAGAAAACUAAUAGUAUGACUCACAUUAAUGUCACUGACCAUUGAAGAAGUAAUGAUUCAGCUUGUUCACCUUGCCAUCAAUAUUCAGGAGGAUAAACAGAAAGCUUAAAUGAGCUAUCUUUGCUGCUUUCUUGCUCUGCUUUUAAUCGAAGUUUUAGAAGCUCAAUCCUCUUAGCUGAGCUAGCCACUGAACGAUUAGUACAAUAAAGGUCAAUCACUUGGAAGCUUGAUAUAUCUCCAAGACCAGAUGGGAUGGCCUCAAGCCUAUCACAGUGUCUAAGAAAGAGGGAUCUCAAUGAUGGGAAAUUACUAGCUGAAGCUUUCCACACAACUAAAUCUGUGCGGCCUAUGUGCAGAACUCUGAGGCAACGAAAACCCCCAUCUUCUGUGUCCCAAUAUCUUCCAAGAAAUGCAUUAUUCUUCAACUUGAGCACUUCAAGAAUCUGCAGCUUUCCCAGUAUAGACAUAUAUUUCCAAUCAAGUGAGGUAUUUUCAAGUGUCAGCCUCGUUAAAUUCCUGGGGAACUUGUACUCUUGAGGAAGGGAGUCUAACCUGGUGGUUGUGUCUUCAUUCAGAAGCUUCAAGUUUUCAAGGAAAUUGAGUCUAAACAAGCUGUCAAAUAUCUCCUCUAUAACAGUUCCUAAUCUCCCACGAAUGCCCAAUUUCCUGAGAUUUGGAGUCCUUUCAAACACUUCCCUUUUACAACAUUCAGGUGAUAUCAUAGAGAGAGUUUGAAGGUUUGGAUUAAUUAAGCUGUCUUCCUUACCUUUUGGUAUGGAUGUGGAGCAGUUAGUAUGUAAAUGCCUUAGUUGUGGCAUCUUCCAUAUGUCAGCUUUUAUUUCGAGGGCUCGCAAGGAUGUAUCUAUUAUAAUUGUUUGUAGGUUCAGCAGAGUAGAUAGCUUUCCAGGGAAGACUUUGAAGUGGCAAGAGAUUGCAAUGUACUUCAAUAGCAAGAGGUAAAAGAAUUCAGCUGGGAAACGACUAAAAAUGAUGGAUCCAAUGUCUAAAACUUUCAAUAGUUUAAAUGCCUUAGGGAUGAAUGAGAUAUGCUCUUGAGGUAACUGAAUUUGUUCCUUGGCAAAGCUCAGAAAUGAUCGAACAUAAUCACCGGUAGGUUUUACUUUAAUAUGCUCUAGGUUAUGGGGAUGAAUGCAAAGGCGACGGGCAUUGUGAGAAGAAGAGUAAGGUGCAGAGGUAGAUUCAUCAAACCUUUUUAUUUCUCGGAAAAUAUUUUCUUCCACAGCCUGUUUCUUGCAAAAAUCUUGCAACAUGUUGUUCAUACGACAUGUUUUAAUUCGGCCAUCUGAUCUCUUCUGCCCGAUCAUCACUAAGCUCCGAUCGACCAAUUCCUGUAGGUAAAACUCUGCCACAUCCUCCAUGUUCAUGAAUCUUUGGUGCUCUAUGAACCCUUCAGAAAUCCACAAGCGGAUUAACUUCCAUGCUGGGAUUUCAAAGUAUUCAGGAAAAACCCCAAAAUAGAGAAAGCAUGGCUUCAAGUUGUAGGGCAAGUGGUUGUAACUCCUCCUAAUCACAUCAUUGCCUAGUUCAUCAUUCUUGGCAACAUAAUCAUGCACAUUUUCAGCCACACUCAUCCACCAAUGUGUAGCUUUGCUGUUAUUCCGGAGUAUCCCAGCAACUACUACAAUUGCUAGAGGUAAUCCAGCGCAUCUAUCCAGGAUCUUGGCCUCGUAUGCCUGUAGUUCUUCGGGGCAAUUAUUCCCAUCAAAAACUUUAUAUCGGAGCAGCUCCCUACUUUCUUCUGGUGACAGGAAUCCCAAGUAAUAGGGUUCAUUUUUUGUAUUGGCAUAAUGAGCUACAGCUACAUUUCGAGUAGUUAUUAACACUCUGCUACCCUUCUUGUUGUCAGGAAAAGCAGACUUCAAUUUGUCCCAUGCAUCAUUGGACCAUAGAUCAUCUAUCACGAUCAAAUACUUAUAUUUUAGACGCUGUCGCACUUCAUCAGCUAAUGCAUCAUCUGACAUCCUAUUCAUUGCUUCAUCGAUACGAGUAAAUGAAGUGAGAAUACUCAGGAAGACAUCUUUUCUCUCCCAAUCUUGAGAAACAUGAACGAAUACUUUUGUAAAGAAUUCAUAGUCAAUCAUUGGGUCACUAAGGACCUUUCUGGCUAAUGUUGUUUUGCCGAUCCCAGGCAUCCCAACGAUUGAGAUUACCUCCAAUUGGUCUGAUUGUCGCUGCGAUCUACCUGUGAGAAGUUCGAUUACAUCCUUGGCCGAAUCCACGAAGCCAAUCACUUUGUCUGCCCCGAACAAAGGAGUCUGUUGCCAACAGACAGAAAAUUAUAAGACAUUGAAAGCUGAAAGCACAGAAGAAAAUGACCAACGAUAAAAAACUAUACAGCAAACUAGGGACUCACAAGUGCAUUUUCAAGAAAUGGGAAACUAAGUCUAGUUAUAAAAAAAUUCUUGGCAAUUUUGACAUGCUACACCCAUGUCAGUGGUCAUAAACCAGCAAGCUGACACAUAAGUUGCAAAACUGCUGGUAAAUCAUAAAAGUUUUCAAUAGCCAAAAUCACCUAACUCUAUCAUACAACACAUUCCUGCUGGGCUGUUGAACCCUUUCUCCUAAAUAAAGUAGUGAAUGAUGCACCAAAAGGGAUGCAUCCUAAAACGUCGACCAAAUGUAAUGUUUUAGUCCCAUUAUUUCUUUGUUCUUAUGUAAUACAGAAACCAUAUAAUGUAAGGCAUGGUCCGUCAAUGUCUACUUAGACAAAAUUUAUACCAGGAAUUAUAUGUUGACACCAAUGAAAGAUAAAAUUGAGUUUAAGACGAUGAUUUGAAAAAAAAAAUAUUAAACAACAAACUAGUUUGAUGAGAGAAGAAUGAGUAAAUUCCAUAAGCAGAAUCUUUAUUAGUUGAUGCUGGCAUAAAAUUGCUUUCAAUCAAGGAGAUAUCAUUGCACUAACAGCCCUUCAUAUCACAUCAAUCAUAUUACUGGUCUUACCUCAAAUUAAUCAUACCAGUAUAUUGCCUAUCUAUGUGAUCAAAUUGAUCUAUAACCAUUUUAAAGCUGAGGGAGACAAAAUACAGUCGCAUUAUUAUGUAGUGCUGGUAUAGGAAGGUGGCCUUUUACCUGUUUCUUGGUUCUCAUAUAGGAGAUCUCAUCAAAUUGCAAGGCAUCAAGGCCAAUGCUCGGCAAAUCGCUUCGUUGAAUGUUCUGUACUUGCGCACGUACUUGUGCAAUCCGUUUCCCCAAACUGCGAAGCACAGACGCGCUCUCAGUCGUGUGAAAAGCUCUGGCAAGAAAGCCUCUGUGUCUUUGAUUAGACGCAUGAAGUAUGUAUGUGUCAAUUGCAUUUUCAGCUUCAAAAACAACGUCCCUGAUUUCGUUCUCCAAGUUCUUGAUGGCUCCCUUGUCCUUCUGCCAUUCAGGGUAAUGCUUGAUAGAGGCUUUCAACACAGCAAGAUCAUCGCACAAGCCCUUGAGGUCAUUGCUCAUGGCUCUUCCGAUUAAAUCAGUGUUGUAUGAAAUUGUCUCCAUCAUGUUGCCUAAGAGAAUUGCUAAAGCAGGAAUAUCAGCCAUCGUUUUUCUUGUCUCUCCUCUAGAGUUGAAAUUGACUUAGAUUUCUUCAAGUUCUUGCCCUGAAGUAUGAAGAAGAAAAAAACCUUUUCAGCAGAAAAUAGUAGCAAAUGAACGUUGACCGAAGGCCAAGCAAAAUAUUCAGUGCUGCAAAAGCUACAGCAGGUUGAGCUAGUAAAAACAGUAAAAGCUAUAUUACAACUUCAUAAUACAUAUUCAAACGCAAAAUUUCGUAUUGGUUUACAUCUCAUAAAUGUACCUCAAAAACAUAUAUAUUAUCAUAAGAUAUUAGUUAACGUAUAAGACACACGAAAAAUUUUUCCCUGUAGUUUACUUCAUUAAUAAUUCUCACCUUAUGAAAAAAUUUUAAAGGUUUCAACUGAAUGUUAUGGUCUAAAAAACAUUUUUAUAGUCAAGAAAUUAAGUAAACGAAAUGGCUAUAUAUGGUCAUUAGAUAUCGGAUAAAAAAAUAGUAACUACCUUUAGAAAGUUUCAAGAAGGGCAUUUUUGUACAAAAAAGUUGACAAUAUAUAUAUAUAUAUAUAUAUAUAUAUAUAUAUAUAUAUAUAUAUAUAUAUAUUGAAUCUUUGUUAGAAAUAAGACAGUAACUACCUAAAACUUUGUUUGUGGGGGGUAAAUUGAAACUAGCCUUUAGCUUUACAGAUGUAAUCGCAAUUAAAUAUAUACCGAAAGCAAUGGAAAUUAAUUUGCCAUUUAGCUUGCAAUUUUCUAGUUUUUAUUUACCUAUGAAUCGAUACCAGUAAUUGCGCCAAUUUGUAUUUUAUAUCCUAAUUUUUAGUCAAGCUUUGGAGAAGAUUUUGUUCAAUAUGCAUAAGUAUAAUAGUUAGUAAGUUUCAUUACACUUUUUCUUCAUCUGAUCCUUAGUAACAGUACUUUGUCCUUGUACCCCAAAAAAAAAAAAAAAAAAUUGUCCAAAUGAACUUUAGAUACGUACAUCGUAUCCCCUUCCAUAAUCAAUCAAAUAUUAGAAACAACCUUUCCGUCCAUGAACUUGUUGAAAUGAAAUUGGUGCCCCAAGAUAACACUACUAGUAUGGAUGAUGCUACAUUUCAGACCAAAAUAUGCAAGGUCUUAAUGGAUUAAAAGUACUGCACUUAGGUCAUGUCAUAUAAAGUAAAUAUAUAAGAAAAAAUGAUAGGAUGGAGAAGAAUUGACUAGAGGUUGUAAAAGCAAAUGUAGAAUUUUCCGAAAACAACUAUAUUAACUUUGAUCUGUUCUUCUCCCGUCAUCUAGAUUAUCAACCAACUAGAAUUCAUUGUCUCACAAACCUUAUACUUAUAAGAUCCCUUCAAUAUUCUCCCAUGAUUCUCAUGAAUUUAGGUGGUGCGAAUUGGUACAUUUGUGCCACAUUUGCACCCUAUUUAAUAAUAUUAUAUAUAUAUAUAUUAUAAUGAGCGUUGCGACGAGUAUAUUGAGAUUAGCACUUUUACUUGUUUGCACUUCUAUGCAAUUUUUCUAAUUUUUUUUGUUGCUAAACUCCUUUUAUUUAGUAUAAGUGGGAGCUUUUGAAUUCGAGAUCUCUCACUUACAUGCUCUCCCUAUAUAUCACCCAAUUCAACCCUUCUCCCUACUCUACUUUAAUUUCUUCUGCAUUUAAUCUAUGUUCUAGCCAAAUAUAAAGUUUAGUAUGUUCCAAUGGGUUUAGCAAUAGUUGAAAAAAUAACAAUUUGUCAAAUUUAAAAUUGCAUUUCAUAUAGUCAAAAAUUAAUAGAAGUAAUUUGGUCAUACAAAAAAUAUGGAUUACAAAUAUUAUAUUCUAUUUCCCAAAAUAAAAUUUUAAUUUUAUAUUUUGAAAUGGAUUACAAAUAUUACAAAAAUCUUAUAGUAAUAAGGGAGGCAAGUGAAAUUUUUUUGAUACUGCCAGAAACUUCAAGACAAGUUUUUGAAAUUAUCUCUAGGAACUACCGCGGACUCGUAUGGAGUUAAAGUUACUCCACUUUCAGCCCCAGAAAAGCACGAUCAUGGGGACAUGGACGUGCUCCUUAGUAGGGAUGGCAAUGGGGGCAGGUGCCCGUGGGCGCCCGCCCCGCGGGGGCUCUCGGGGCGGGGGUUGGGGCGGGGGGUGGGGCAGGGGCGGGGGGGAAUUUUUUCCCCCCGCUUAGAAACGGGGCGGGGGGCGGGGAGUAUACCCCCGCCCCAUCCCCCGCAAAACAAAAAAUAUAUAUAUAUAUAAUUAUAUAUAAUAUGUAAGUUAAUUAGUUAUAAACUUAUGAUAAUGAUAUUAUUAGUUAGAUGUAUUAUAUAUUGUAUAUUAGUUUAUGUAAUAUAAUUGAUACAUGUCUACUAAUAUUAUGAAUAAUUAUACAUGUCUACUAAUAGAAUUUAUUAAUUAGUUAUACUAAAUUUACUAAUACAUUUAUACUAAAUUUCUAAUUACACUUAAUAGAAUAACACUUUUUUCUCAAAAAAAAGCACAAACACAAUAAUGAAUUAGUGAUUGCAUUUGUACUAAAAGUGAAAACUUGACUAUUUUAGUUAUAUUUAUUUCAUCAUAUUAGAUUGUAUUCAAAUAACUUCUGUUUGAUUGUUUUUAUGAGUUUCAAUUGUAAAAUUACAAUGAAUAAUAAUUUGGUAAUGUGUUGAUAUUUUAGUACUUGAUUAUUUAUUAAAAUUUAAUUAUAAUAAAAUUAUAUAAUAAAAUUAUAUUAACCCCGCGGGUGCCCCCGCGGGGGAAGCGGGGCAAGGCGGGGCGGGGGACGGGGGAGGGGUCCCCCUCCCCAACCCCGCCCCGUUGCCAUCCCUACUCCUUAGCAAGAAAUAAGGGUACAAUGGUAGAUUAGUUAUUGUUUAUGGGGUCAGGAACCACUCUCUAUUACUCCCUCCGUCCCAUUUUGAUAGUCUUGUUUUCCUUUUUCGUCUGUUCCAAAUUGUAGUUCAUUUUCCCAUUAAGAAAUGUAGUAAUCUUUCAAAUUGUCUAAAAUACUCUUAUUAAAUAUAUUGUUAUUAAUACAUUGUUAUUAAAUACUAACCCACUACAUUGAAUACAUUGAGUUUUUCCAAUACUAACCCAUUAGCUGUAACUGAUAUUAAUUGGCACUCUUCGAGAUUAGCAUAAGGGUAUUUUAAGAAAUUAUUAAUCUAAAUUUAUGUUUUCAACCAAAUUAAUUACACUUUUUUAAUCUGUGUGAAAAAAAAAUCAAGACUAACAAAACAGGACGGAGGGAGUAGUUAAAAACUCAGUCAAUUGAUGCAAUCGGACUGGCCGGCCGCCGGCUGGCCCUCCUAGUGCCCUGUGCAAUCAAUAGAUUUUCAUAUCUUGCGGCAGGCUUGUACUGGAAUUUGUGAUGCAUGAAUAUGAAAGAUCAUCAUUGUACACUGCUAUCUUUUUACAUAUUGUAUUGGUGAUUAGGUUAGCUUGACUUAAUACUUUAUCUACCUUAUUAAUUAAUUUUCUGAACAAAUUAGUGCUGUUAGGCUGGCAUUUCCUAGUGCCAUGCGCAAGCACUUGAUUUUGAUAGCUUUUGAUUAAGAAUCAUUUUGCUGUUUUACGCAGGGGCGGAGCCAGAAAAAAAUCUUAGUGGGGAUAAAAAUAACACUAAAAUUUUUUAUCUACUAUUUUUCUAAUUUUUUAAGCAAAACAAAAGUCUCAUGCAUAAAAUCACCGUUUCACAAGUUAAAAUAUUUAUCAAAUAACUCAUUUAUUAGUUAUUACAUUAACUAAUCAAUUUUCAAAUUUCUUUAAAACAGUAAUAGUCUCAUGCUCUAGAAAUAUAUUUGCAGACAAUUUUAAAAUAAUAAUAAUAAUAAAUAAUUGUUUAGAACCUGAUUUUGAUGGUCUCCUAAAGUUGGUGAAAAGAACUGCAAAAUGUGGCGGAUCCAAGUCCUAGAAGAUCAAUUGAUUCUGGUGCAAUCUCUAAAUAGGAUGAAGUGAUCAAAAGAAAGAGUAAUAAGCUUUGGUUGUGGGAAAAAAAAUGGCUCUCCUAUGUAUGUUGGGGAGUGGGGACAACCGAGAGUCAAAUGAGGAAAGAGAAAUUGGGGAGUGGGGACAAAUGAAGUAAAUGACAAUUGGAUGAAGUGAUAAAAAGAAAAAGUAGUUGGCUUGGGUGUGGAAGAAGAGAAGUCGGUUGUGAAGGAAAAUGGGGGACCAUAGGAGUAAAGGAAACUUGGGGAGUGGGGAUCAAAAGGAAUGACUGAUAUAAUUGGUACUUGGCCCUGUUGGUGGGAAAAUGGGAACUAGAGAAGGAAAGUGAAUGAUAUAAAUUUUGUAACCCAUUCUUUCAUAUUUUUUCUAAAAAAAAUUCUGGAGGCACCUUUAAAAUUAUGUCAAAAUUAUAGAUGUAUUAUAGGAAUUUAAGGGGCAGUGAGGACCUGUGCCCCAGUGCCUCCACUUUAAAUCCGCCCCUAGUUUUACAUUAUAAUAUUGCUGAUUAGGUGAUGCAAGAAUUAGAAAGAUCAGUUAUUCUCGUUUUUUUUCCCAUUUUUGUUGCUUUCAUCCUCUUUGUUUCUUUUCAUUUUCAUCUCUUCCAUCCUCUCAAUUUUCUCUCCUCCCCCACCCCAAAAAAAAAGGUAUUUCGUAAUUUAAGAAGUGAAGUACCAAACACGAAUAAGCAUUGUCAGGAGCAUUGAGAUUAGCACUUUUAGUUGUUUGCACUACUAUGCAACCUUUCUUUUUUUUUUUUCUAAUUUUAUUGCUAAACUUUAAUUUUGUCUAUACUUAAUCUAUGUUCUGGCCAAAUAUACAGUUUAGUCACGUUCAAAUGCGUUUAGCAAUGGUUGAAAUGAUAACAAUUUGCUAAGUUCAAAAUUGUGUUACAUCUAGUGAAAAAGUUAGUACGGGUAAGUUGAUCAUUUAAAGAUUAUGACAUUAUUGCGGCCCGAUUCAAAUUUCAGGGGACAUAAGAGUGUUACUGAUUGAAACUCGAAUUUAAUAAUGAGGAAAUCUUAUAUGCAUUAAUAGUGUAUACACUAUCACGGUUUGACUCAUGACAUAUGUGUAAAAGUUGAAUUUCAAAUUUAAAAUUUAUAUAAUUGUCAUUCAUCCAAUGCUGACAGUAUAUACAUUGUUAGUGUAGGAAAAAUUAAUUCUUUGAUAAUGAGGAUAAAUUGAAAAUCCUCCCCUAGGAUUUCUAAUGGUAUUAUUUAACAUCCCCAAACUUUGAAAAUAUCACUUAACUUUUCUAAUUUAAAUUUUUGUGUAACAUUUAUGAUUCAUGUUCAAAAUAUAAUGUUAAAAACUCAAUUUGGGAGAGAAAAAUAUAAUCUCAUUUCAAAAUUGCUCCUUUCUUAUGGUCUCCUAACUAUCGUAAUACACCAAUUUUAUAUCUUAAACUUUUAUAAGUUUGGUUGAUGUGAUUUUUUAAUGAAAAUGUAAAAGUAAUGACGGAGUAGAGAGAUCUUUUAAUAAUUUUUUUGUGUCAUUGGUUUGGACAAGAAGUAUUUAAAAGUAUAAAUAAUGUGCAAUACUCGUUAAAAUAAUUGAAAUAUUUUACAAUAAUGAAAAUAAAUUUUUACACCAGCUUGAAAACAGCACAAAGAAGUUUAUGUAUAAUUUUCAGAAUUUUGGAUUCUUCUAGUUUUCAAGUCAUCAAUUUUGACAGCAAAAAUAAAAAAUAUAUAUAAAUGGUUUAUAAAGCUCCUUAAAUUAACUCAAAACACCUUAAAGAGAAUAAUUGUUGUUUAAUUGCAAAAACCUCAAAUAAACUUUCAAACAUUAACUUUUGAAUUAAAACACACGCUGCUAUAUUUUGUCCCUCCAAAUCCAAACCUUCAUUGUUUUUUUCAAAUUAUAAUUACAAUAGUUCAAAAGUGUUAAAUGAUAAUGCGAGGUGAUGUUUCUAAAAUCAUCUAUUAAUAACAUAUAGGGAUAAUUUCAGAAACCUCUCGUGAGGUUUCUAACAAUUUUACUAGCCUCCCCUAAAUUUUAUAAAAUUACAUAAAUCUUCCUUGAAAUUAAGGCUUUGGUAACAAAAUUAGUCCAAGUUAGAAAAAGUAACAUUAAAAAAGUACUCUAAAGAGAGAGAUGAAACUUUUAUUUUAUAAAUAUCUUUUAUACAUGUAUAUAAGUUGUACUAGUAAAAGAAUGAAAAUAAUUAAAAGUUAGAAACAAUUAACACACAUAUUUCACUACUCAAAAAGUUUGCAUUCACACCACAUUAGAUAACACAAAUAAAUAAUAACAUUAAAAGAAUUAGUCCAAGUUAGAAAAAGUAACAUUAAAAAAGUACUCUAAAGAGAGAGAUGAAACUUUUAUUUUAUAAAUAUCUUUUAUAUAUGUAUAUAAGUUGUACUAGUAAAAGAAUGAAAAUAAUUAAAAGUUAGAAACAAUUAACACACAUAUUUCACUACUCAAAAAGUUUGCAUUCAAUACAUUAGAUAACACAAAUAAAUAAUAAAAUUACACUAAUAAUCACAAGAUUUAGUAAAACAAACUAAUCAUCUCUCAUAACAUGAGAUUUGCUAUAAUUCUUGUGAUUUUGAACAGAAAAAAUUUCGAAUUUUGCCUUUCUUUUCCCUUAUUUCUCCUUUAUUUCCAAGAAAUUACAUUACAGCUAUCACAACUUUAAGAGUUUAAAAAAAAAAUUUAGCGUGACAACUUUCUUUUGCCCUUUGUUUUUUUUUUUUAUCAAAGUCCUUUUUCUUACAUUGUGCAUAAUUAAUUUUUGGCCAUUAUCAAAUUCUAUCAAUCACAAAAUAGUGUCAUUUAAUAUUUCAAUUGGUAUUAUUUUGUAAUUACAAGUCAUCGUUCAUCAUUAAAGAAAAUUGUAAUAGUUAUUUUCAUUAAUUAGUACUCUAAUUACUCAAUUGUCUAAUAUUAAUUUCUAAUAGCACAUAAUGUCUUAGGGUAUAUGGGUAAUUUUCUCACGUGACAUAAGUAUUUGAGCUCACAAUUUUGUUAGGAGAGACAAGUGUAAUUUUAUAAACUUCAAGGGAGGUCGUUAAAAUCGUCAGAAACGUAAGGAGAGGUUUGUGAAAUUAUCCCUAAUACAUACACGUCGCGUUAAAGUUUCUCCGUUAUCUGCACCACGAAAGUCAAGUCAUGAUCACGUGGCCAUGUACAAGUUCGACAGCCAGACAUAAGCUACAAAAAUUUUUGCCCUUUUCUCUUUCUUUUGUCAGAAAACAAAUGGCUCGAGCCUUUUGUUUAUUCCAACAAAAACUCAGCAAAAUUGAUGCCAUUAGGCUGGCGUGCCCAGUGCCCUGUGCAGUCAAAAGAUUUUCGUGCCUCGGAAGGAUUUAUAGUUCUGUUUGGAUAAUAUAUUAUUUUAAAUAAUAUUUUACUUAUAUCAUAAAUAUAUUUUUAAAUAUAUUUUUUUAUUUUAUAUAUUAUAUCAAAAAAAAUUCUAUCGUAAUUAUUUUAAAUAAUAUUUCAAAUAACACUUGGACAGUUUAUGAAUGUGAAAGUUCAUUAUUCUACUUUUUUUUUUUCCCUUGUGUUCAUUUUUGUCGCUUUCAAACCAUCAAAUUCUUUAUUUUCUCCUCCCUGUCUUUUUUCCAAAGCUGAGAGAAACUCAGACUUUUGCGUAAAUAAAUCAUGAAUUCCCGAACAACCUUCAAAAGUCGGCAACUUUUGAAGGCAUCCAGGAGACUUAUAUACACUAAACCCAACUCCCCCCAUUUCCGAUGUGGGAUAAAAAAUCCCACAGGUGCCCCGCUGCUAAGAAGUAAAGACCUCCCAAACCCCCUGAGAAUGAGUUUUCUGUCUUUUUUCCAAAGUUGAGAGAAACUCAGACUUUUGCGUAAAUAAACCAUGAAUCCCCGAAUAACCUUCAAAAGCCGAUAACUUUUAAAGGCGUCCAGGGGACUUAUAUACACUAAACCCAACCCUCCCAUUUCCGAUGUGAGAUAGAAAAUCCCUGUUUCUCCUCCUUGACCUGAGCCUGAACCUGACCCUGGCCGCCCCGGCAAUCAAGAAAUACAUUACAAUAGUGAUUUUUUUUUAAAUUUUUUUCUGCAACAACGACAAUCUGUCUUACUUCUAUUCUAAACUAAUUACAAGAGAGUAGAAGCUUAAAAGAAUUUGUAUGAGAGUUAGAAAUGAAUCAUUAAAUUAGAUAAAUACAAUACUACACUAUUUGAAUUUUAAAAAAAUUGUAUUUAUUGUAAUGCGCUGGGCGGAAUGUGAACCCUCACAUAAUAAUUGACACAACUUUUUUAGUGCCGCGUCAAAUCAAUCCACUUUCAAUUCAUGUCUUUGGGCAGAACAUUUUAGUGCGUUGUUCAAUCAAUCCACUUUCAAUCUUUCAUGUCUUUGGGCAGGAUUAUCCUGAUGUUUUACAUUAUUGCUGAUUAGGUGAUUUAAGCCAAGACUUUAUUUCCUAAUGUCAUGUGCAAUCACUUGAAUUUCGUACCUUGAUGAAGGAUUAUCCAGCAGUAAUGAUUUAUUUGGAUAGGCUAUUAUUUAAAAUAAUUACUGUAGCACUUUUUAUGAUGUGAUGUAUGUAAGAUAAAAAUAUGAUUAGAAAUAUAAAAAGGUGAAUUAAAAAAUAUGUUUAUAAUAUAAAUAAAAUAUUAUUUAAGAUAAAUUUUGUAUCCAAAUAUUUCUAAUUGUAUCAUAUUGCUGAUUAGGUGAUGGAUGAGCGAGACGAGUCAAUUAUUCUCGUUUUUCAAUUUCAUCGCUUUCAUCCCGUCCUCUCAAGUUCUUUUCAUCUUUCGUCCUCUCUGUUUCUUUAAUUUUCUCUCCCCAUCAGCCUGGCCGCCCGCCUUGGUUGAAGAACUUAUCUUGGUGUUUUGAACCUUUAAAAAAGUACCUUUAAUUUAAAAAGCGGAGUGCUAAAGCACAAAUAAGUCCAAAAGGUCAGCAAAAAGCUGAAGCUCAACAAUCAUAACCAUGGUUAGUGCCCUUAAUUUAAAAUUGGAGAAAUUGUUCGUUCCUAAAUUUUUUUAGUGCCAAUUUAGUCCUUCACUUUUAUUUUUGAUUAAUUUGAUACUUGAACUUAUUUCACAGUUCCAAUUAAGGAUUUUCGCGGUGACACCACUACCUAAAAUUGAUCUGACUCCUAAUUGACUAAUUAAAUAGGGGUAUUAUCAUGAGAUUGUAAUAAAACAAGUAAAGCGUAUAAAAAAAUCACCAAAUAAAACUUUUAAAUAGUGUAAAAAAUCAUCAAGUAAAACUUUUUUGAAGUUUAAUAUUGUGAUUUUUUAUACAAUUUACUUGAUUUAUUAUAAUCCCAUAAGUGAUAUUCCCAAAAUACUCUUAUUUAGUUGGUCAAUUAAAAGCUAUAUUAGUUUUACGUGAUGAAACAGCCAUGGAAAUCCUUAAUUGGAACUGCAAAAUAAGUUCACAUUUCUUUUGUUUUUUUCUGCAACGAUGAAAAUCUAUCCUACUUCUACUCUAAACUAAUUACAAGAGAGGAGAGGUUUAAAAGAAUUUGUAUGAGAGUUAGAAAUGAACCAUCAAAUUAGAUAAAUAAAAUACUACACUCUUUAAGUUUUUAAAAAGGGAUAAUUUUAGAAGUCUCCGUGAGGUUUCAGACAAUUUCACUGAACUUCUCUGAGAAUUGAAAAAUUACACAUAUCUUUCUUGUCAUUUAAAAUGAUAAUUUUAUCCUUAAAUAUUUUAAUGAAAUUCGCUUUUUUGGUAUGCUUAUAUUGAGAAUGAGUUUUAAAAUUAUUUUUUCAUUCUUAUUCCUUUUUUAAAAUUUUUCGCCAAUAAAACUGUAAAACUACUACUAUUGCCUCUAGAUUUCUAUCAUAACUAAAUGCCGAACUAGUGAUUUUUUUUAUGAAUUAAUUUCAUAUGUAAUCCAAUGUUUUUGCUGAUUUUUGUUUUCUAUUUUUUGGUAUUAAAAUUAACAAUAAAUAAAAAAGAAAUGACCCCAAAAUACUACUAAAUUAUGAUAAUCCCACUACUCCAAAAAUUUAUAAAUUCUAAAUGAAUUAUUUCAACAUUUUUUUAUCUUAUAAAUCUACAUUUAUAAUAAAAUACUAUCAAAAAUAACAUAUCAUAGUAAUAAAAUUAUUAUUAUAGUUGUUUAUUAAAUAUUAGAUAUAAACAUGAAAAUUUUGACACAUUUUCCUUAUAAUUAUACGAAUAAUCUUAUAAUUAUAUAGGAUAUAAAUUAAAACUCAUUCCACAAGGGCAUUUUUGGGCAUUUAUUUAAAAAAUUGUUCAAGUUAAUAUUAUUUUAAGGUUUUGUUACGAAAACUAUCAAAUCAAAUGAGGUAAAUGUAAUUUUUCAAAUAUUAAGAGAGCUCAGUGAAAUUUUCAAAAAUCUCAGAGGAGGUUUGUGAAAUUAUCAUAAAAGGAAUAAUUGCAUAUAGUACCCCUUAGGUUUAAAUAAUUAUAGAAACCUCCCUUAGAAAAUACUUUGAAGCUCACUUUGCUGAUAUAAGCAAAAAAUCCCCAUUCAAAAUCCUAAAAUGCCCUUAUCAAAAAAUUACUCUCAUAUUUUUAUAAAGUUCUUUAGUAAAUUUGUUCCUAUCCGCUAAAAAAAUACUGAUACCUACUUGACCAACAAAACUAAUUCAAUAAGAAUCUAUGUGCGGAGGAAACUAACGGUUUUAUUUACUCUAAAAUCACUACUAUAUGGAGUAAGAUUGGAUUUAGGUUUUGUGGGAGUCUAUGACAAGAUAGAAGCUUAUCACUCUUGUUUUUCUUUUUUCAAAGGAUUUACUAAAUUGAAUUUACAAUACAUUAGUUCGCUUCAUGGAGACUUUAAAUUCAACAAUGGAUGAAGGUUAUUUUUGCCAUUUAAGACAAUGAGGGAAGGUAUGUGCAAUUUUUUAAAAUUGGAGGGUAUUAUCUAAAAUUGUUAUAAACCUCAGGGGAGGUUUGUGAAAUUAUCCCUUUAAAAAACAAGAAAGCACUGUACUUAUUGUGAUGCACUGGACGGUAGGUGAACCGUCGCAUAAUAAUUGACGCAACUUUUUUAGUGCCCCGUUAAAUCAAUCCACGUUCAAUCAUUCAUGUCUUUGGGCAGAACUUUUUUAGUGCGUUGUUCAAUCAAUCCACUUUCAAUCAAUCUUUCAUGUCUUUUAGCAGAACAUUUUUAGUGCGUUGUUCAAUCAAUCCACUUUCAUUCUUUCAUGUCUUUGGGCAGGAUUAUGUUGAUGUUUUCCAUUGCAUCAUUAAAUUUGCUGAUUAGCUGACUUAAGCCAAUUUUUUAUUGAUUAAAUUUUAUAUAUAUUAAAAGUAUAUAUAGUAUGAUCGUUGAAUUUAUGAUAUAUGUGAAAAAAUUUAAAUUUAAAUUUAAAUUUUAUAUAACUAUCAUUUAUCCAAUGCAACACUGACAGUGAUGAAAGAUUAUUACCUAGUGCCAUGUGCAAUCCCUUGAAUUUCGUACCUUGAGGAAGGAUUAUGUAGCAGUUUUACAUUAUCAUAUUGCUGAUUAGGAGAUGGAUGAACGAGACAGCUCAAUUAUUCUCGUUUUUCAAUUUCAUCGCUUUCAUCCAUCCUCUCUAAGUUCUUUUCAUCUUCGUCUCUUUCGUCCUCUCUGUUUCUUUCAUUUUCUCUCCCCACCGGCUGCCGCCUUGGUUGAAUAACAGAUCUUGGUGUUUUGAACCUUUAAAAAAGUACCUUUAAUUUAAAAAAGUGGAGUACUAAAAACACGAGUAAGUCCAAAAGGUAAGCAAAAAAGCUGGAGCUCAAUAAUUAUCAAAAUCUAACCAUGGUUAGUACCCUUAAUUUAAAACUUUUAUUGGCUAAAUGUUGCUUUCAAAUUCAAAAAAAUCUUUUAACGGAUGCUCAGAUUCUAUUGCGUUUCGAAAUCUAUGGUUCAGUAACUUAAUAAUAAUGCUUUUUAGUGCUUGUGUAUGAUCCUACUGCAGAGUUGAGUUUCAUAAACAAGCUCCAUAAUAAUAAUGAGUGUGUUUGGACAGCCAAUUAUUUGGCCAAAUAUAUUUGUUGACAUCACCAUUACAAUUUCCAAUACACCUUUUUAUCUUCCCAAUUACCUUUUUAUCUCACAUACAUCACAUCACAAAAAGUGGUACAGUAAAAAUAUUUCAAAUAACUUACAAUCCAAACACGUUUUUUCGUAGAACAUUUACUGGCUUGAGGCUUUGGCACUGCUCAGUAAUCCUUAUCCUCAUGUUCAAUUAAACACUUUUUUAUGUUGAAAACACUGAAAACACAAUUAGCAGAACAAAGACCAAUAGCUAGAAUUGCACCUCUCCACUUUUUCAUACAAUAAUUUGAAAAUCUUGGGAUUUUGAUCCGGAAAAUAUUUUUACAACAUGAAAUUUGCAUUUUGUCCAUCUUUCUUCAAUUCCUGCUCUUAUCUUUUUUCUUUUUUUUUUUUUUCUGUCAAACUCCUGCUCUUAUCAGGAAUUUUGCAUUUGUCCAUCUUUUGACCUGCAUUCACACUCGUUUGUGCAUUUUUGAGAAUUUUCUGUAAACUCGUUUGGUAUCUAUUCACACUCCUAAACAGAUUCUAACAGUUGCCAAAGCAUUCAUUUUUCCAGAAUGAAGAAAUUGUUGAUCGUCUUCCUUUCCACAGUCAUUCUCUCUACGCUUCAUUUGAUACUAAAUUCGGAACAACAAACCAAAGAAUGCAACAAUAAAUAUGAGACUUAGGUUUAUGACCAAUGCAUAAAAACAUCAACGUUUGAUACAUAAAAAGGUUUUUGAUACAUUUGUAGUUCGACUGAGCCAGCAACGGCAUGAUCGACCAUGAACAAGAGGAGAGCCCUCAAUUCAUCACUUAUUUUUUGCCAGCUUUAUCAUUUUUCUCCAAAAAAGACAAAAAAAAAGGAACAAGGAAAAUGAAAAGUCGAGGACCUUUUGGUGUUUAGUGAAGCCUCCGUCCUCUCUUCU
rnacentral:lncRNA from 1 species